UACGUAGGGGGCAAGCGUUGUCCGGAAUUAUUGGGCGUAAAGCGCGCGCAGGCGGCCUUGUAAGUCUGUUGUUUAAACUUGGGGCUCAACCCCAAGUCGCAAUGGAAACUGCAAAGCUUGAGUGCAGAAGAGGAAAGUGGAAUUCCACGUGUAGCGGUGAAAUGCGUGGAGAUGUGGAGGAACACCAGUGGCGAAGGCGACUUUCUGGGCUGUAACUGACGCUGAGGCGCGAAAGCGUGGGGAGCAAACAGG
rnacentral:rRNA from 1 species